rnacentral:rRNA from 1 species
GGGAAUAUUGCUUAAUGGGCGCAAGCCUGAAGCAGCAACGCCGCGUGUGCGAUGACGGCCUUCGGGUUGUAAAGCACUUUUCACCGGGAAGAGGAAGGACGGUACCGGUGGAAUAAGCCUCGGCUAACUACGUGCCAGCAGCCGCGGUAAAACGUAGGAGGCGAGCGUUAUCCGGAUUUACUGGGCGUAAAGCGUGCGCAGGCGGUUAUGUAAGACAGAGGCGAAAUCCCCGGGCUCAACCUGGGAACUGCCUUUGUGACUGCAUAGCUGGAGUACGGCAGAGGGGGAUGGAAUUCCGCGUGUAGCAGUGAAAUGCGUAGAUAUGCGGAGGAACACCGAUGGCGAAGGCAAUCCCCUGGGCCUGUACUGACGCUCAUGCACGAAAGCGUGGGGAGCAAACA